rnacentral:rRNA from 1 species
UCUGGCUCAGGAUGAACGCUGGCGGCGUGCUUAAACACAUGCAAGUCGAACGAUGAAGCCCAGCUUGCUGGGUGGAUUAGUGGCGAACGGGUGAGUAACACGUGAGCAACCUGCCCCUGACUCUGGGAUAAGCGCUGGAAACGGCGUCUAAUACUGGAUAUGUCCCGUCACCGCAUGGUGUGCGGGUGGAAAGAUUUUUCGGUUGGGGAUGGGCUCGCGGCCUAUCAGCUUGUUGGUGAGGUAAUGGCUCACCAAGGCGUCGACGGGUAGCCGGCCUGAGAGGGUGACCGGCCACACUGGGACUGAGACACGGCCCAGACUCCUACGGGAGGCAGCAGUGGGGAAUAUUGCACAAUGGGCGCAAGCCUGAUGCAGCAACGCCGCGUGAGGGAUGACGGCCUUCGGGUUGUAAACCUCUUUUAGCAGGGAAGAAGCGAGAGUGACGGUACCUGCAGAAAAAGCACCGGCUAACUACGUGCCAGCAGCCGCGGUAAUACGUAGGGUGCAAGCGUUAUCCGGAAUUAUUGGGCGUAAAGAGCUCGUAGGCGGUUUGUCGCGUCUGCUGUGAAAUUCCGAGGCUCAACCUCGGGCUUGCAGUGGGUACGGGCAGACUAGAGUGCGGUAGGGGAGAUUGGAAUUCCUGGUGUAGCGGUGGAAUGCGCAGAUAUCAGGAGGAACACCGAUGGCGAAGGCAGAUCUCUGGGCCGUAACUGACGCUGAGGAGCGAAAGGGUGGGGAGCAAACAGGCUUAGAUACCCUGGUAGUCCACCCCGUAAACGUUGGGAACUAGUUGUGGGGUCCUUUCCACGGAUUCCGUGACGCAGCUAACGCAUUAAGUUCCCCCGGCCG